ACGAACGCUGGCGGCGUGCUUAACACAUGCAAGUCGAGCGGUAAGGCCCUUUCGGGGGUACGACGAGCGGCGAACGGGUGAGUAACACGUGGGUGACCUGCCCUUACGCUCUGGGAUAAGCCUGGGAAACUGGGUCUAAUACCGGAUAUGACUCCAUGACGCAUGUUGUGGGGUGGAAAGCCUUGUGCGGCUAGGGAUGGGCCUGCGGCCUAUCAGCUUGUUGGUGGGGUGAUGGCCUACCAAGGCGACGACGGGUAGCCGGCCUGAGAGGGCGACCGGCCACACUGGGACUGAGACACGGCCCAGACUCCUACGGGAGGCAGCAGUGGGGAAUCUUGCGCAAUGGGCGAAAGCCUGACGCAGCGACGCCGCGUGGGGA
rnacentral:rRNA from 1 species